GUGUGGUCGGCAGGUUCCCACGGAGCCGUCUGAUCUCCACACCGACGGGGCGGAUGUAUCUUUCUUUCCCAAAAACAAUUUGUCCGAUGCAUCUCAUCCUCAGGUUGUUGUCGGGAGGAACGGGCAGCCCUAUGCAUCAAUCAUCGUCGGGAUGCAGCCGCGGGCGCCCGUGGCCAGCUCGCGUGCACUGCUCUCCACAGUUGACGCUGCAACUCGUGAUCUCUGCAUCCGUGCAAGGCCUUCAUCCGAGGGAACAGCGCUACAGCAGUCAAUUGUGUUACUCCCCGCUGGAUGGUAUCGGAUUAGGCAUGAUUGGGGUGUUCACGAGACGUAAUCAUGUUGUACUAGAAUGUAAUCGAUAGAGGCUUCGGAGUCAAGUGACCUAUAGUAAAGUGGAGUGAAUCUACUCUUUUAUGGCUUGAGAGAGAGGUCAAUCGUGCUCGUCAGCUCGAGUGUGAUUGCAGCAUGCGUCCGGAGAAUGAAUGAAUGUAUACUCGAUUAGAUUGCCCGUCUUAUGUCAUCUGCGUGUCGAAACGCAAUGGCGACAACGCCCGACAAACUUCCCGUACUUGUAACUCACGCUUUUUAGCUUAUUUCUGAAUUUCGCGUGCUA